GAGCUUGAAAUUAUGAAUACCGGAACUUGGAGGAAGCGGAUUAGUUGAGUUUUGAGGGGCUGCCUUGGUUUUGAAUAAAUAGCUUUGGUCGUUACGUGGAAAUCGGCCAAGAUGCAAGUCGGGAGCCAUCUCGUUAGGCGUCUGGACUCUUAAAGCGGAGGGGUUACUGGAUAGUGUUGUUGUAUAGUUUUGUUGUAUAGUGAUGUAUAUAUAUGUACUUAGCUUUCUCUCCGCAUAGCUUGUCCUUUUUUAUCCUCUUAGAGGUUUAUGGAGAGGCAAGAUUGUGUGUAUGUACUUUUGGGUUUUAGAUAUGUAUGUAUAUAUGUGUAAAUAUUCUCCAGCCAGUCUUGACUUCGCAGGCUGAGUUAGGAGCUUGUUAUUUUGUAUCUUUGGCACUCUAUUCCUACUUCUGUUAUCUUAUGUUUGAUAGUUACGGUUUUCU